GAUGAACGCUGGCGGCGUGCUUAACACAUGCAAGUCGAACGGUGAAGGCGGAGCUUGCUCUGCUGGAUCAGUGGCGAACGGGUGAGUAACACGUGAGCAAUCUGCCCCUGACUCUGGGAUAAGCGCUGGAAACGGCGUCUAAUACUGGAUACGAGCUGCGAAGGCAUCUUCAGCAGCUGGAAAGAAUUUCGGUCAGGGAUGAGCUCGCGGCCUAUCAGCUUGUUGGUGAGGUAAUGGCUCACCAAGGCGUCGACGGGUAGCCGGCCUGAGAGGGUGACCGGCCACACUGGGACUGAGAGACGGCGCAGACUCCUACGGGAGGCAGCAGUGGGGAAUAUUGCACAAUGGGCGAAAGCCUGAUGCAGCAACGCCGCGUGAGGGACGACGGCCUUCGGGUUGUAAACCUCUUUUAGCAGGGAAGAAGCGAAAGUGACGGUACCUGCAGAAAAAGCGCCGGCUAACUACGUG
rnacentral:rRNA from 1 species